rnacentral:rRNA from 1 species
AGGAUGAACGCUGGCGGCGUGCCUAACACAUGCAAGUCGAACGUCCUGUCUCGCAAGAGGCAGGGAGUGGCGGACGGGUGAGUACCACGUGGGUCAUCUACCGUGAGGUGAGGAAUACCGGCGAGAAAUCGCCGACAAGACCGCAUAGGCUCGAUGCAAGUCGAGCAAAGCUCUUUCGAGAGAGGGAGCGCCACACGAGGAGCCUGCGCCCGAUUAGCUAGCUGGUGGAGUAACGGUUCACCAGGGCGACGAUCGGUAGCUGGUCUGAGAGGACGAUCAGCCACACUGGGAUUGAGAACGGCCCAGACUCCUACGGGGGCAGCAGUGAGGAAUUUCGUCAAUGGGGGCAACCCUGAACGAGCAACGCCGCGUGCAGGAAGAAGGUUUCGGAUCGUAAACUGCUUUUCUCGGGGAAGAGAACGGACGGUACCCGAGGAAUCAGCCCGGCUAACUACGUGCCAGCAGCCGCGGU